rnacentral:rRNA from 1 species
UACGUAGGGUGCAAGCGUUGUCCGGAAUUAUUGGGCGUAAAGGGCUCGUAGGCGGUUUGUCACGUCGGGAGUGAAAACUCGGGGCUUAACCCCGAGCCUGCUCCCGAUACGGGCAGACUAGAGGUAUGCAGGGGAGAACGGAAUUCCUGGUGUAGCGGUGAAAUGCGCAGAUAUCAGGAGGAACACCGGUGGCGAAGGCGGUUCUCUGGGCAUUACCUGACGCUGAGGAGCGAAAGUGUGGGGAGCGAACAGG